rnacentral:rRNA from 1 species
AACGAACGCUGGCGGCAGGCCCAACACAUGCAAGUCGAGCGAAGCCUUCGGGCUUAGCGGCGGACGGGUGAGUAACGCGUGGGAACGUGCCCUUUGGUACGGAAUAGCCCCGGGAAACUGGGAGUAAUACCGUAUGUGGUCGAGAGACGAAAGAUUUAUCGCCAAGGGAUCGGCCCGCGUUGGAUUAGGUAGUUGGUGGGGUAAUGGCCUACCAAGCCGACGAUCCAUAGCUGGUUUGAGAGGAUGAUCAGCCACACUGGGACUGAGACACGGCCCAGACUCCUACGGGGGGCAGCAGUGGGGAAUCUUAGACAAUGGGGGAAACCCUGAUCUAGCCAUGCCGCGUGAUCGAUGAAGGCCUUAGGGUUGUAAAGAUCUUUCAGUGGGGAAGAUAAUGACUGUACCCACAGAAGAAGCCCCGGCUAACUCCGUGCCAGCAGCCGCCGUAACAC